AGGGCUACAAACGCUGCGAGAAACCGCGGUUACUGGGAGCGCGCGCCGGCCGUUCCGUCAGCCACGCAGCUGGGAAGCUGACCAUCUGGCAGGCCAGCAGCUCUCAGGCGGUUAGAAGACAGUGAGCCCUUAUCACCACCCAUGGCGACUUCUUCUUCGCCCUCUUCAUCCCACAUUGCAAGAGGAAGGAGGAAGGUGGCUCAAGUGAGUGAGGAUUAAAACAGAGUUCUGAAAACUCGUAAUUAAAGGGCAUUUUAGCCUGAGGUUCAGUGGGCCUGACUCCUGGGGUAACAGCAGCCUCUGUGCAUGGGACGCGGUACUGGUACUGUUGGGGAGGGCUAAGUCAUCCUGCAGAGAUAAAAACAGAAACAUAAAACCUGGGGUGGGGGCAGGGUGGAGUUUGUGGGUGGGGCGCCUGUCUGGCAUGCACUGGCUUGAAGUCUAGAUUGCAGGGACUGCGUGUGCACGAGUGGCCCAUCACUUGUCCAUCAAGAUGUAAAGUGUUCCAAGGCAGGUUGGGCCACAGUGAGACCCCUAGAGAAUGCUCAGUCAGUAGAGGUACCCGCUGCCGAGCCUAGGAACCCGAAUUAACCCUAUGACCCAUGUGGUAGAAAGAGAGAAGCAGCCAAAUCCCACAAUGGGUCCUGGGACACAUGCGCCCACAUACAGUAAAUGUAAUUUUCUUUUUCUUUUUUUCGGAGCUGGGGACCGAACCCAGGGCCUUGUGCUUGCUAGGCAAGCGCUCUACCACUGAGCUAAAUCCCCAACCCCAAAUGUAAUUUUCUUAAUCAAGAGAAAAAGAAUGAGAGGCCCGUGAGGUGGCUCAGCUGUUAAGAGUACUUGUUGCUUUUGCAGAGGAGCAGAGUUCUGUUCCCAGCAUCCACAUCUGGCUGCUCACAACCGCCUGCAACUGCAGCUCCUGUGGUGGGGGCGGGUUGUCUAAUCUCUUUAGUUAGGGAGUGGGUGGGGCUGGAGAGAUGGCUCAGCGGUUAGAGCACUGACUACUCUCCCAGAGGUCCUGAGUUUGAAAGGAAAAUUAUACGAAUUUAAGGUUUAAAAAUAUAAAAUUAAAAGAGUAAGCCCCAAAAGCCACAAACUCAGGGCUAAGCCCUGCCGCCAGGAAUAGCAGGCCAUAAAGAUAAAGAAAAGGAAUGCAAAAACCAGCUCAGGCUGUCGAGGACUGACCCAUAAACCAUCCAAAGACAUCCCCCCAGCUUACUCAGAGUCAUACUUUAACCAGAUGUCCUCCAGACCCUGAUAAGCCCCUACUUAUACUUUCUAGCCAUUGUGUCCUACAGAGAGCACUCCAGGAAACCUGCGGGAGGUGUUUCAAAUACAAAUGCUUCAUCAAUUUUGACAAACUUUUAAAAAUAAUGAGGACCUAAAGACCCAACUGUUCUCCUGAUUUAGUAGCUCUGUUCCAGGAACCAGGGGGCCAUAAAACCUUUUGGCAUCCCCUUAUCUCCUAGAGCCAUAAAACAGUCCUGUAACUUGCAGUGCAUUCCCCUUUGACAUCCCCCCAUCCCCUGGUGCUCACAGCCUCUGCCUUUAAAUACUCUUUCUCCCAGCCUCUGUCUCCUGCGUGGGAUAUGUGUCGGCCCGGAGAUCUCUGUAAUAGGUCUCUGUAAUAAACCUCGCCUUUGCUUAUUACAUCCAAAA